rnacentral:rRNA from 1 species
GAACUUAAGCAUAUCAAUAAGCGGAGGAAAAGAAACCAACAGGGAUUGCUUCAGUAACGGCGAGUGAAGCGGCAACAGCUCAAAUUUGAAAUCGACUUCGGUCCGAGUUGUAAUUUGUAGAGGAAGUCUCGGGUGCGAUACUGGUCUAAGUUCCUUGGAACAGGACGUCAUAGAGGGUGAGAAUCCCGUAUGCGACUGGUGGUCAACCCCAUGUGAGGCCCCUUCGACGAGUCGAGUUGUUUGGGAAUGCAGCUCAAAAUGGGUGGUAAAUUUCAUCUAAAGCUAAAUACCGGCCAGAGACCGAUAGCGCACAAGUAGAGUGAUCGAAAGAUGAAAAGCACUUUGGAAAGAGAGUUAAAAAGUACGUGAAAUUGUUGAAAGGGAAGCGCUUGCAACCAGACUUGCUCGCGGGUGAUCCACCGUCCCUCGGGGCGGUCUACUCUCCCGUGAUCAGGCCAACAUCGGUUUCGGUGGCUGGAUACAGGCUCCGGGAAUGUGGCUNCCCUCCGGGGAGUGUUAUAGCCCGGGGUGCAAUGCAGCCCGCCGGGACCGAGGACCGCGCUUCGGCUAGGAUGUUGGCGUAAU